ACACUUUAGUUUUACAAGUGAACGAAAGGACGCAUUUACUUAUUUGCUUGUGCAAAUACUGUUUAUUUAGUUUUAUAAGCGAGCGAAAGGACGAAAUAACUACCUAUUUGUUUACUUGUGCAAAUUGAAUAUGCCGAAAGUAUCAAAAGUGAAAUGAUAUCAGCAACAAAGGCUCACGGAAAUAAAAAUCGCAGUAGCUCAAAGAAAAAGACAGGUACUACAACAACUCGAUGGAAAUAUAGAAAAGAUUUAACUUCAGAAAAUUGUCAACUUCGAACUUGCGAUGUCACACAG